GGGAGUGAAAUAGAACCUGAAACCCUGCACUUACAAGCUGUGGAAGCACAUUUCUUGUGUGACCGCGUACUUUUUGUAGAACGGGCCAACGAGUUACGUUAAGUAGCAAGGUUAAGCACUUAAGGUGGGGAGCCGUAGCGAAAGCGAGUUUUAACUGAGCGUUCAGUUACUUGACGUAGACCCGAAACCGGGCGACCUACCCAUGAGCAGGAUGAAGCGAAAGUAAAAUUUCGUGGAGGUCCGAACCCACGAGCGUUGAAAAGCUCGGGGAUGACUUGUGGGUAG
rnacentral:rRNA from 1 species